CUCCGGAGCAGCGCGGCCACGGUGCUAGUCGGUAGCACCAGCCGCCGCAGCGACUCCGCACUGGGGAAGUGAAGGCGGAAAAAGGCGGGGCUGACGGCUCUUUGCUAGGAGUGGGCUGGACCGGACGCCACAGACAAAGGCUCUCAAGGCAAGAGGGGCUGUGGCCCUGCGACGGCGCUGCUCGGGAUUUCUGACUCCAGGACUUUUCGCUCCUUCGUUUUUCUCUUCUGAUUCUUAUUUUAUCCCAAGCCCGCGUCCCCUCACGCGGGACCUCGCUCCUCACCGAGAGGGCCGCGAUGGAGGUCCCGCCCCGGCUUUCCCAUGUGCCGCCGCCAUUGUUUCCCUCUGCUCCCGCUACUUUAGCCUCCCGCAGCCUCUCCCAUUGGCGGCCGCGGGCGCCGCGGCAGCUCGCACCGCUCCUCCCUUCGCUCGCUCCCAGCUCUGCCCGGCAGGGGGCGCGCCGGGCCCAGCGCCACGUCACCGCCCAGCAGCCCUCCCGAUUGGCGGGCGGGGCGGCUAUAAAGGGAGGGCGCAGGCGGCGGCCGGAUCUCUUCCGCCGCCAUUUUAAAUCCGGCUCCAUACAACGCUCUGCCGCCGCUACUGCCGCGAUCCGGACCGCGCGCCAACACCCCCCCGCCGACAACUCCGCCACCAUGGAGGACAUGAACGAGUACAGCAACAUAGAAGAAUUCGCAGAGGGAUCCAAGAUCAAUGCGAGCAAGAAUCAGCAAGAUGACGGUAAAAUGUUUAUUGGAGGCUUGAGCUGGGAUACAAGCAAGAAAGAUCUGACUGAAUAUUUGUCUCGGUUUGGGGAAGUUGUAGACUGCACAAUUAAAACAGAUCCAGUCACUGGAAGAUCAAGAGGAUUUGGAUUUGUGCUUUUCAAAGAUGCUGCUAGUGUUGAUAAGGUUUUGGAACUGAAAGAACACAAACUGGAUGGCAAAUUAAUAGACCCCAAAAGAGCCAAAGCUUUAAAAGGGAAAGAACCCCCCAAAAAGGUUUUUGUGGGUGGAUUAAGCCCAGAUACUUCUGAAGAACAAAUUAAAGAAUAUUUUGGAGCCUUUGGAGAGAUUGAAAAUAUUGAACUUCCCAUGGAUACAAAAACAAAUGAAAGAAGAGGGUUUUGUUUUAUCACAUAUACAGAUGAAGAGCCAGUAAAGAAGUUGUUAGAAAGCAGAUAUCAUCAAAUUGGUUCUGGGAAGUGUGAAAUCAAAGUUGCCCAACCCAAAGAGGUAUAUAGGCAGCAACAGCAACAACAAAAAGGAGGAAGAGGUGCUGCAGCCGGUGGACGAGGUGGUACUAGGGGUCGUGGCCGAGGUCAGGGCCAAAACUGGAACCAAGGAUUUAAUAACUAUUAUGAUCAAGGAUAUGGAAAUUACAAUAGUGCCUAUGGUGGUGAUCAAAACUAUAGUGGCUAUGGCGGAUAUGAUUAUACUGGGUAUAACUAUGGGAACUAUGGAUAUGGACAGGGAUAUACAGACUACAGUGGCCAGCAGAGCACUUAUGGCAAGGCAUCUCGAGGGGGUGGCAAUCACCAAAACAAUUACCAGCCAUACUAAAGGAGGACAUUGGAGAAAACAGCGGGAACUUCAUUGCAGGCCGUGUGUCACCCUGACCACGUCUAUCUCUGGGGGUCGCACGUUGCGGGCAGAGCGCAAGGCAUACACCAGAAAACGCUGUCCUGUGGAGGAGAUGCUAAAGUAACUCAUCUUGCAGGACGACAUUGAAGAUUGGUCUUCUGUUGAUCUAAGAUGAUUAUUUUGUAAAAGACUUUCCUAGUGUAAAAGGCACAACUGUGUCCAACUGUAUAUAGCUACCAAUUAGUUUUUCUUGUUUUUACUUUGUCCCUUGCUAUCUGUGUUAUGACUCGAUGUGGAUUUGUGUUUAUACAAAUUUUAUUUGUAUGAUUUCAUGUUAAACCUCAAAUAAAUGCUUCCUUAUGUGAUUGUUUUUCUGCGUCAGGUACUACAUAGCUCUGUAAAAAUGUAAUUUUAAAUAAGCAAUAAUUAAGGCGCAGUUUAUUUUGUAAGGAAUUUUGGCCCAUGGGGAGAAACUGUGGUUCUUUAUAAAUAGCCAGCCACAGUGUCACCCUGUUUCCUGUUUUUGUAGGUGUGUUCUAUGCUCUAAGGCUUUAUCCCCCUGUUAGCUGAUGCUUUCACCACACCUUUGAAUAAUGUUCUUCCUCUCUGGACAUCUGGAGACUGUCAUGAGAAUAACUCAGUAUUGUGAUUAGAAGCUUUCUAGUAGACCAUGUAUCUUCUGGAUUGUAUUUUCAAGAAAAGUACCUUUGUAACAACUUGUUAAUGGCCCCUUUUGCUUUGUUCCUUUCUCUGGAAAGCCAUUUAUGAUUUGCUGAUUAUUUCUUUGACUUUAGAGUUAAUUAGUGGUCUGCUAGAAAAAGCUCUGAUUAAUCAUAACUCCAUGACUUUGUUCUCUGCAUAAAAAUCUCCAGAUAGACACAAGGAAAGAGCACUAUAUAACUAACUGGUAGGAGCUACGGUUUAAGAGCAUUGAAAGUAGUUAUGACAAGGAUUUUGGCAGAUGAAGUUUGAUCAAAAGUUAGAAUAAUAUUUGAAGUAGUGGCAGAGUAAUUGUAUUCUGAUGUUACGUCACAGCCACCACCAGACUGAACAAAAUGUUUUCGGUUUGGGCAUUCUUAGGAAGCUGUGUUAAAGAGUUAACUGUUAAACCGUCUUGAGUUUAUAGAAGGUCACGAUAAUCUCAUUUUUAAUGCAGUUAGUGCAUGAGCUGAGUAGUUAAACAUUUCCAUAUUCAGACAUAGGGAAGGAUGGUGGAAAAGGUGUAUUUUUAAGUCUUAGUUGUGUUAAUGUUGGCCUAAGUGUGACUCAGUUAUGUCAUUACAGCAAUCUUCCUGGUUUAUUGAAAAAAAAAGUUUUUAGGUUUUAAAGGACUCCUGAGUACAAGCUUCCAAUUUUACAUUCAUUGUAGUCAAUUGAAUUUAGGUGAGUUUGUUUCCAUGGUUCUGAGUUAGCUGCUAGGAUUAGUAUACAUGUUCAUAUGUAAAGUAGUUGAUCUCACACUCAACCAGUGUAAGUUAUGCCGAGGAAUCUGCCUUUUGUUUUAAUUUGGUUCCUGCAGCUUUAUUUGUUCCCAUAAUUGUGUUUGCAGGGCUAUCAAGCUACAGUGCUCUUGAGUUUUGCUCCCAUUUUGCUAUUUGACCUUACACUUAGGCGAAGUACCAAUGUUGGCUAUUGCAAGGGAUUCUGUUUGUUCUUUAAACAUGCACCUUUAGGGAAUGGAAGGGAGAUGGUUUCAUUUUAAGUUGUCAAUAGGUGCAGUGUCUAGGGUAGUGAAUUCUGUAAGUUCAAAUUUAUGAUUAGGUGACAAAUUGACAUUGAGAUUGUCCUUUUCCCGAUCAAAAAUGAAUAAAGACUUUUUAAACAAAAUCCAAACUUCAAUCAAGUCUUGAUAUGUAUGACUGAGAAAAUGCACUUUGUCUAGAGAUUUUUGUCUGAGAUGUUUUACAAAAAAAUUCAAAGGUGAGUGAGAAUGCAUUUGCUUUUUCCUCCAGGGGCUUUGAACUUUAGAUUUAAUUCUUUAGUGCCUAUCAGUUCACCAGCUGAUAUAAAUUUGAAAUAAAAACGCCAGGGCUGAGUGCUCUAGGCACUUCUAGUUGGAUAAACUGUGUAGUUCAUAUUAAGGUCCCAUUCCUAAGUAUUAGAACUAAGCUGAGUAAUUUGAUGAGUUUAUUAAAAGGGUGGAAAUAGAAAUGGAAUUCUGAAGUACCUUUGACAUACAAACACAGUUAUCCGUGUAUAUCUUGUUAAAUAUGCUUUGAGUUACUUUGACCAAGUUGUGUAUGGUGUUACUCAUUCUAACAGAAAACCUUACCAAUUUCAUUGGUUAGCAUGUUAGUGUGCCAUAAUCUUAUAGCCACUUUUGUAAGAUUAGUGUCUUGGGAUACUAACAUGGAUGAGCAGAUCCUCUUAUUCUGUUACUCUUCAAUGCAUCUUUCAAAAUGAUGACAGGGAUCCUUUGCUAAUCUUCAUAAGGUUUAAUACAAGGUCCUCAGAAGAAUGAAAACAUUACCAAUUAUCAAGAUUUGACUGGAUGUCAACCACAAGAUGAUAAAUCUAACUAAUUAAAAAAGUGAUUCAAGAACAUUUUAUAGGAGCUGGCCAGGUAGCUCAUUUGGUUAUAGUGUGGUGCUGUUAACACCAAGGUCCAGGGUUUGAAGCUGUACUGACUGGCCAGCUGCCAAAAAGAAAACUUGAAACAACUUUUACUAUGUGUGUAUAUACCAUUUGAGUUCAUUCUAAUGUUGAGCAAAAUUAGGAAAUGUGAUACUAUACAAAUCCCUCUUAAAACUUUCUGCCUAAUUUGUCAUCUAAUUUGUGGUCUUGAGCAAAAGCGAUGCAACUUCUAUGUGAUCUUUUUAUAAAAUCAUUUCAAAAUGUAUUGCCAUAAAAAUACAGGCUGUUCUUUUAGAAUUGGUUGGGGUUUUGUUUUCCUGUGUUGAAAUAGUCUACUUGGAUGUGGAAUUUCAGCAAGGUUUGGUUUAAUAGCAAAAAAUAAAAACACACCUUUGAUUUCUCAAACACUACUUUUUAUGCUGUAGGAAAGGAUAUAGUGGUGUGGGGAUUACAGAGGAAAGCUGAAGAUUUAGAAGAUUUAUUAACUUGUGCUACUCUGGCAGUUUAAUCUGUAGUAUUACCCUCAGUAUUUAUUCAAGGAAGUGUACCCAUUUGGGGUGGUGUAUUAUAAUCUCAGAGAGUGGUGAGACAGGUGUAGUUUGAAAAAAUAUAUUCAACAUAAUCUCUAGUUAGAAUCUGGAAAUUUCAAAUAACAGGAAAUGCCUAAGAUUUUGGUUGGUUUCUCAAAAACAACACGAGUUAGAAAAUGAGAGAAACAGGUUGCUGUUCCAAUGGUUAUCUCCUUUUGAGGAUCUGACCAAAAAUGAAUUAUCUUCAGGCCAAAAAAACCAUGUCUAUACAUAAAUACUUAAAAUGCAGUUUGGGGGAAAUUAAAGACUUCUUUGAAAGCCAAGUGGCUUAAAAGGCUCUUGAAAUUGUUGCCUUUAUGGUAACAAACUAUUGAGUUUACUGCCAUUAAUGGGGUUGCGCAAAGGGAAUUACUUGAGUUGUUCUCUACAUGGGUAUUUGUGUUGGCUGGUGAACACUCAUAUAGGGUGAUUGUUUUAUUAGUGAGAUAGGGAUGAUCAACCCCACGAAAGGUUCUACUCAAAACCUUGAUUAAUCCCCUAAUUUUCAAGUUGGGGAAGUUAUGUCAGAAAACACCAGCUCCAGUUACAUUUUGGAAUCUGUUAAACUAUCAGGCUUAUCUUAGCCCUUGAAGCAUUUGUCACUUUUGGGAAUGACCUUUAAGGAUUAAGAAUGGUCAGUAAUGUUAGCAGAAGGGGACUUCAAAGUGUUUGUGGAAAGAUUCGUAUCAUCUUUAAUUCUUUUUUACAAACUUUGAAGUACCUUCGUACACUUGUUUUAUAAAUGCUGGGACCUUUUGUAGGAAAGUAGGAUUGUAUUACAACUGAUCCAUUCAUGUUCCUCUGAUAAAAUGAGCCUGGAUAAUCUGAGUAACUACUCAUUCCUAUGAAAGAUAUGUCCUAUGACAUUGACAGUGAUUAUUUAGGUUGCUCUUGAACCAUGAGACAGGACAUACACAUGUUCAUAGACUCUGCAAGCAGAGGAAUGAGAGUGUGAAUAAUAGGGGCUAAGUGGUAUUUGAGAGUAGUUUCCAAAAUUUUCAUUACUGGGAAGCCCUUUUUAUAUUUUCUACUCAUAGAUUAUAUGUUCUGAAUGGCUUUACUUGUCAAAUAUAUUUUGCUCUCAUUAUGUUGUGACAUUUCUAUUAAUCAAAGGUAUAUAGCUGUCAAUCAGAACCUUUACACUGUGAUAAUUGUCUUCAUACCACCAAUUAAUAAAAUGCCAGCCAAAAUCAAACAA